rnacentral:rRNA from 1 species
UACAGAGGUGGCGAGCGUUGUUCGGAUUUACUGGGCGUAAAGGGUGCGUAGGCGGUCCUGUGUGUUGGAUGUGAAAUCCCAUGGCUUAACCAUGGAAAGGCAUCCAAAACUGCGGGACUAGAGUACAGGAGAGGAGAGUGGAAUUCUUGGUGUAGCGGUGAAAUGCGCAGAUAUCAAGAGGAACACCGGUGGCGAAGGCGGCUCUCUGGAAUGAUACUGACGCUGAGGCACGAAAGCCGGGGGAGCAAAAAGG